AGAGUUUGAUCCUGGCUCAGAAUCAACGCUGGCGGCGUGCCUAACACAUGCAAGUCGAACGCGAAGACCCCGCAAGGGGUUGUUAGCGUGGCAAACGGGUGAGUAACGCGUGGGCGACCUACCUCAGAGUGGGGGAUAACCUUCCGAAAGGGAGGCUAAUACCGCAUGACAUGCCUUGUUUAGAUACAGGGACAUCAAAGCCGGGGAUCGUAAGACCUGGCGCUUGGAGAGGGGCCCGCGUCCGAUUAGCUAGUUGGUGGGGUAACGGCCCACCAAGGCUCCGAUCGGUAUCCGGCCUGAGAGGGCGGACGGACACACUGGAACUGAGACACGGUCCAGACUCCUACGGGAGGCAGCAGUGGGGAAUUGUUCGCAAUGGGCGAAAGCCUGACGACGCAACGCCGCGUGGAGGAUGAAGACUUUCGGGUCGUAAACUCCUUUCGACCGAGAUGAAUUUCCUCCGACCUAACACGUCGGAGGGUGACA
rnacentral:rRNA from 1 species